UAAAAAAACUGAGGAAACUUGAGACCACUCAGAUACAUAUGCGUAUUAUUCGAUAGAAACGAUCUGAUGUCGUCUUAGCAGUAAUUGUUUAUCUUUCUCUCUCUCUAAAUAUAUUUACAAGUGAACCUCUNAAAAAAAAAAAGAAGAAGAAAUCUAUAGGAUGUUAUCUAUAUAUAUAUAUAUAGAGUCCGGCUAGGAUACUAUCUAUAACACCAAGGGCUUAGUGCUAUCGAGUUUUCCACCGUUAGAUUUAACCCUUUGAUUUUUUUUACCCGUUAGAUUAUACUAUUCAACCAACCAUGCACUCACUCAAUCCUAGAGGACCCACAUCAUCCUAACCGCACAUUUCUCAAUCCAAUGGCUAAAAAAAUAAUGGCACCAAUAGCUUAGUGCUUUUGAUAGUAUUCCAGCUUAGUUCUAUAGAUAUAUAUAUAGAGAGAGGGAGAGAAAGAGAGAGAGAGAGAGUCCAGUUAAUAUACUCUAAUGAGUACGAUCGUCCUCGUACUCAUAAGUUGUUUUCGAUGAUAGAGUUUUCGAAUUGACGAUCAAUACCGUUAAACAUUAUUUAGAGCAUUUAAGACUUCUAUAUAUAAAUUAAAUUUUAUAAUUUUUGACAUUAUUCACCUUAUGAUCAAAAGAUCUCAAAAUUGACAAUUUUUAACGGCCGGUAUAGAAUACUUGUUAGUUUAACGGUGUAAAAUAAUCGAAAUCAGCUGAAUUUUUGAUAAAAAAUUCUAUUUACUAUUUAGAUAAAGAUCAAUAACUUUGAUCUUAAAUUGAAGAAUCCGAUCAUUUAUUUUUAGGACGUCGUUCGAUUUUCACCGUUCAUUUAUGCCCGCUUGAUUGACUUUAUUAUGAUUCAAAAAAUUACGAAAUUUAUUUUUUAAUAUUUAAUCCAAUGGUUAGAAAUGAUAAAAGGAAUUGGUCCAAAGGCUAAAAACUUGCUAUCAAUAAUAUUCUAGCCCAACUCUCUCUCUCUCUCUCUCUCUCUCUCUCUCUCUCUAUAUAUAUAUAUAUAUACAUAUAUAUGAUUAUAUAA
rnacentral:lncRNA from 1 species